GACCUCGGUAGCUUAGUUGGAAAAGCAGAAGGGCGUAAACCUGAAAGACCUGGGUUCGAAUCCCAAUCGAGUUCCA